CGGCGGACGGGUGAGUAACACGUGAGUAGCUGUCCUAGGGAGGGGGAUAACGCCUGGAAACGGGUGCUAAAACCCCAUAAGCCUCGCAAGAGGUGAAAGUGUACUUGUUACAGCCUUAGGGUGUGCUCGCGGCCUAUCAGCUAGUUGGUGAGGUAAGGGCUCACCAAGGCUAAGACGGGUAGCCGGCCUGAGAGGGUGUACGGCCACACUGGAAUUGAGAUACGGUCCAGACUCCUACGGGAGGCAGCAGUGGGGAAUUUUGGGCAAUGGGCGAAAGCCUGACCCAGCGACGCCGCGUUGGGGAUGAAGUCCUUCGGGGCGUAAACCCAUGUUGUAGGGGAAGAAGAAAGUGACGGUACCCUACGAGAAAGCCCCGGCCAACUACGUGCCAGCAGCCGCGGUAAAACGUAGGGGGCGAGCGUUGUCCGGAAUUACUGGGCGUAAA
rnacentral:rRNA from 1 species